AUUAUGACACAUUUUGACCAUAGAAACACUAACAAAGCUGUUUACUGCUUCUAAACAAAUUUUUGUUGGUUUUAUCCUCUUUUGGGACAAAAUGGGUAUAAGUGUUGUCUAAACACUCCUAAGAAAUCUUUAACUCUUCUAAUUAGUCAAAUGCAUUGGAUUCUGACACAUUUGACCAUAGAACACUAACAAAGCUAUUGACUGCUUCUAAGCAAUAUUUUGUUGGUUUUACCAUCUUUUGGGAGGAAAUGGGUAUUAGUAUUGUCUAAACACAACUUAUCCAUCUCUAACUCUUAUAAUUAGUCAAAUGCAUUAGAUUGUAACUCAUUUUGACCAAAGAAACACUAACAAAACUAUUGACUGCUUCUAAGCAAUUGUUUGUUGGUUUUAGCCUCUUUUGGGAGAAAAUAGGUAUAAAUGUUAUCUAAACACUCCUAAUAAAUCUUUAACUCUUUUAAUUAGUCAAAUACAUUGGAUUCUUUCAUAUUUAAACCAUCGAACCACUACCAACGCUAUUGACUGCUUCUAAGCAAUGUUUUGUUGGUUUUAGCCUUUUUUGGGAGAAAAUGGGUGUAAGUGUUGUCUAAACAUUCUUAAUCUAUCUCUAACUCAUAUAAUUAGUCAAAUGCUUUGGAUUGUGACAAAAUUUGACCAUAGAAACCCUAACAAAGCUAUUUAGUGCUUCUAAGCAAUUUUUUGUUGGUUUUAGCCUCUUUUGGGAUAAAAUGGGUAUAAGUCUUGUCUAAACACUCCUAAUCCAUCUUUAACUCUUCUAAUUAGUCAAAUGCAUUGGAUUCUGACACAAUUAACCGUAGAAACACUAACAAAGCUAUUGACUGCUUUUAAGCAAUGUUUUGUUGGUUUUAGCCACUUUUGGGAGAAAAAGGGUGUAAGUGUUGUCUGAACACUCCUAAUCUAUCUCUACCUCAUAUAAUUAGUCAAAUGCUUUGGAUUGUGACAAAAUUUGAUGAUAGAAACACUAACAAAGUUAUUUAGUGCUUCUAAGCAAUGUUUUGUUGGUUUUAGCCUCUUUUGGGAGAAAAUAGGUAUAAAUGUUGUCUAAACACCCCCCUAAUCCAUCUUUAACUCAUAUAAUUAGUCAAAUGCAUUGUAUUGUGAUACAUUUUGACCAUUGAAAAAGUAACAAAUCUAUUUAGUGCUUCAAAACAACCUUUUGU
rnacentral:sRNA from 1 species